rnacentral:misc_RNA from 1 species
UCCUCUUUACAGAGGCAGUUUGUCUCGAGUUCCCGACAUUACUCGCUGGUAACAAGACAUGAGGGUUGCGCUCGUUGCGGGACUUAACCCAACAUUUCACAACACGAGCUGACGACAGCCAUGCACCACCUGUGUCCUACGCACCUUUUCGGGUGCUACCCUCGCGGGCGGCAUGUCAAGCCCUGGUAAGGUUCUUCGCGUUGCAUCGAAUUAAGCCAUAUGCUCCACCGCUUGUGCGGGCCCCCGCCAAUUCCUUUGAGUUUCAACCUUGCGGCCGUAGUCCCCAGGCGGUUCACUUAAUGCGUUAGCUGCGGCACCGAGGGGAACCCCCGACACCUAGUGAACAUCGUUUAUGGCCAAGACUAC